rfam:Stegodyphus mimosarum contig97327, whole genome shotgun sequence.
GCCUUCGUGGUGUAAUGGUCAGCACGCUCGGCGCGUAUUCGAGAGGUCCGUGGUUUGAAUCCCGGCAAGGGCA